UCCUGAGAUUGUACUGGACCGUGACC
rnacentral:piRNA from 1 species